rnacentral:rRNA from 1 species
UACAGAGGUCUCAAGCGUUGUUCGGAUUCAUUGGGCGUAAAGGGUGUGUAGGUGGCGCGCUAAGUUGGGUGUGAAAUUUCGGAGCUUAACUCCGAAACUGCAUUCGAUACUGGCGUGCUUGAGGACUGGAGAGGAGACUGGAAUUCAUGGUGUAGCAGUGAAAUGCGUAGAGAUCAUGAGGAAGACCAGUGGCGAAGGCGGGUCUCUGGACAGUUCCUGACACUGAGACACGAAGGCCAGGGGAGCAAACGGG